CUGCUCACUUUGGCAGCACAUAUACUGAAACUGGAACAAUACAGAGAUUAGCAUGUCCCCUGCACAAGGAUGACAUGCAAAUUCAUGAAGCGUUCCAUAUUUUU
rnacentral:snRNA from 1 species